rnacentral:rRNA from 1 species
GAUGAACGCUAGCGGCAGGCUUAACACAUGCAAGUCGAGGGGUAUAGUAGCAAUACUAGAGACCGGCGCACGGGUGCGUAACGCGUAUGCAAUCUACCUUUUGCAGAGGGAUAGCCCAGAGAAAUUUGGAUUAAUACCUCAUAGUAUAGCGACAUCGCAUGAUGAUGCUAUUAAAGUCACAACGGCAAAAGAUGAGCAUGCGUCCCAUUAGCUAGUUGGUAAGGUAACGGCUUACCAAGGCGACGAUGGGUAGGGGUCCUGAGAGGGAGAUCCCCCACACUGGUACUGAGACACGGACCAGACUCCUACGGGAGGCAGCAGUGAGGAAUAUUGGACAAUGGGCGCAAGCCUGAUCCAGCCAUGCCGCGUGCAGGAUGACGGUCCUAUGGAUUGUAAACUGCUUUUAUACAGGAAGAAACACUGGUUCGUGAACCAGCUUGACGGUACUGUAAGAAUAAGGAUCGGCUAACU